CAGCCCCCAGAAGGAUGCUGUUUUGUGGCCGCCGGAGCUCGGAUGAGUUCCCCCCCCAUGGGGCAAUUUGCAGUGCUGGUCCCUCCAGCUCGCAGCUCGCUGCCGCUUCUCCCCUCCAGCUUUUGCAGAGCUCUUGGCGCGGUGCCCGGCAGCCCUUCACUGCUGCCUUUUCAUUCCCCUUAAUUCACUGCCUUUCCUUGCAAGGAACAGAGGGAGAGCUUGUUCCAGCAGACGGGCCCCAUCCGCUCCUCCCGUCCGAGGGCUGGGAAGAAGGGAUGGAGGCGAAGGGAACUCUCCCACCCCUCCGGGGCCCCGCGGGCGCGCUGCUUCCCAGAAAAUACGGUAAAAAGCCUUCAGCCUAAAAAUAACUGCAGCCCGUGGCUGCCCAAGGCUGAGGAACCAGCCCCUCGGGGCUCACUUAGAGAUGUCAACGUGUGGCCAUUGGCCGGUCUCUCUGAUGGGCAGAAGUCAUCUGGCGAGGUGCUGAUCCUCCUAUAGUGUUUGCAAGAUCUUUAAGAAGAAUUGCAUGGCCGAUGUCGUUGCGUUUGAGUUGUGCUAGAAUACCCUGACCAUCAGAGGACUUGGAUUUUAUGACAGAAGAGAUCAGCACUGCAAAGACAUGGCGAUGUUGUUCACAUUGCCUGGACCUGAGCCCAGGGUCCGGGACCAGACCUGUCUCAUACCCACACCUUAGAAGACAGCGCCGUGUUCGUGUUUUCUUUUUGCAGGCUGAAAGCUUUCCUGGACCUGCUGAACACUUCUGCUGUAAUCUGUCGUGGCUGUCAGGGUGCCAAGAGACAUGCCAGACCCUGGGCCACAAUAGUGGAACAGACAUGCCCAGAGCUGAAAGCUGGCACAAGGUAGUGUAUAAAGUGAGAUAUGUGAAGCCACGGGCAAAUAGUUUGGUAAUCACGUGGGUCAGUUAGGCUUGGCACAGGGCAGAGCCUGUCUGCUCAUCAAGGAAGGCAGAGACAAAACUUCGUCAUAGAAUCAUAGAAUAUUUGAAUUAUUGAAUCAUUGAAUGGCUUGGGUUAGAAGGGACCUUACAGCCCACCCAGCUCCAACCCCAGUGCCAUGGGCACAGUUGCCACUCACUGCAUCAGGUUGCCCAGUGCCCCACACAACCUGGUCUUGAGAAGAGUUGGGGGACUUCUUAAUGAGAGCUACGAGGAUUAAACAAAAACAAUUACUCCAGAAGGACUGAGGUAAAGGACACAGUGUUGUCUCAGUGGGGUCGCAAACACAUUUCAAAACAGAUUUUUGCAGAAAGAGAUGUUUCCCAUUCCCCAGAUAUCUUGUUCCCAACAACGAUUCUCGUUUCACAGUAAGGUUCAGGGUUGGAGGAAGGAGCAUGAGCCUUGCUCAGCAUUGGUGCAGGGGAUGCUCCACGUGUCUCCUCACCUAGAAAGCUAAACCUCAAAGAAUAGAAGAGCACAAUUCACUCCUCGCAGAUGGGGAAAUGGUGCAGUGAGUCAGCAAGGCAGACCACAGAUGCUGUCCAAAAGCAUUGCAGCAAUUAGUUGGAGCAAGGUGGAGAUAUAUUCCUCCAAAAUGAAAGUCUCUGUAGGCUGUUACCAGUGCUCACAGCCAUCUAGUCCCUUGCUGAACAUUUCUGACCAAAAUCCUUCCAAGCUGAUCUAUUUUCAGCCCAACCCACUCGAUACCUUGAUUGCUACGCAGCUCUUUUAGCUGCUCUUAGGUAAACAUGUUGUCAUUCCCUGGCAUUUUGCCUCGCUAAGACCAAAAAUAUGAGUGGCACAGAAAAUAAGAAAAGCUGUUCUCCUCCGCCAGGAAAAAUGAUGCUAUUUCUGAAAUAAACUGUUUUUAAUACACCUCACCAGCCAUGUGCAUAUACACACAUGUAUAAAUAUACUUGACCCGGAGGUCCAGUUCCAGUGUUGGCAUCUUGUAUGCCUAUAUGGAGACAGAACAGAGAGGGAAUUAUGUAUGUACAAACCAGGACACACCUUCGGUCCAGUCUACAUCUGAAUGCAGAACGUUGGUUAAGACAAAAUACUGAGGUCUGAUCCCCAUUAAAACAGGUUCACAGGGACUGGUCCAAACUGAGACCAGAGAGUUAUGGGCUGUCAUGAGGAGCAGCUUCUACCAUAGCGACCCAUGUGCCCCAUACCUAAAACCAGCAUCCCCAGGGUUGAACCAGAGCAGGCUGGAGCAGAUCAGUGUCAGAGCUCUAUCCACAGCAGGCCUUGUUUUUGAGGAAUGACAGUGAUGUUGGCCAGACCUCCAAGCCUCUUUUUUUUUCAGAUUUCUCUUUAUCGAGUAAACACAUAGAAGUCAACAACAGAUGGAGCAUCACAUGGAGUUACGCAGGUCAGCAAAGGCUUCGGAGACCCCGUGAGUUUGAGGAGGCAAUAAAUUGGCAGGAGAUGUGGAUGGGAAAUUAUUCUGAGGGACGGAGGAAAAAAAUAGUGGGUUGAUCUGUCGCCCCUGUGACAUGCUCAGGUUUUGUGGAGGAAGACAAAGGUGGGCAGAUAACAAAAGCUCCUGGGUAGGAAGGCUUUUGGGUUCCUCUUUGGCUGCAAAUUGUGAAAUUCAAGCAGAAAGGUAACAAACUGGUAACAAAACGGGCAGGAGUAAAGCAAAGCGAGUGCAAAACAAAAGCAGAUUUUGUGUGACAGGAGCAGAUUGAACUGAUGUGACAAAGGAGGAGGAGAGCUUUUUCAGUAGCUUGUAUAGUGCUGCGGGGAGCUGGGAGUGACAAAUGAGGAAUUUGCACAAGUGGAGAGCAACAGCGUAGGGCUGUGUGUUGAGGAAGAAAGAAAGGAGAAAAGGGAGCAAAGGACACCUAUUAAUAAAAAGAAACCUACAUUCCAUUUAAGAUUUAUUGCUAGCUCAGAGCCAGAGAAUCUUUCAUGCCUUCGCAUCUCUGAGCUAACAUUACCCAAGAGUGGGUAGUGGUGGGGAUCCACUAUGAGCCAUUGAAUUCAAGUGGAAAAGAGCUCCGGUCUUUAAUAUGCAGAAAUUAAAACACUUUGGCUGACAGAGCUUUCAAUCUGAGAAACCUGCACUGUAGUAGCAGAAUAGCAUUAGUGCUCCUGAAUACACAGCUGGUAAUUUCCGAGCACGAAAUAUCAUGCAUUGAAAAUGAAAUUGCUCCAUUUAGGAGAUCGGUGUGGUGGGGAUGGAUGAAUUCAGUGCUGGAUGAAAAAUUAAUGGUUGCCUUCAGACAGGUGUUGACUAGCUGGUGGUGUUCCAAGAAAGGACGGUCCCAUCUGGUCAUGGGGAGAGCUGUGAUGGUGCGAAAAGAAGAGAGUGAUCACCAUGGACAAAGAGCAUCCCACGAACUCAUGUCAGAGAAGAGUUUUUGUCUUGGAGGUGGAGGGCUCAGUCGGUGGGAGAAGUAGGGCUACUUCUACGUGGGGUGUGGAUGGAGAAGUUUGAGAAACGGAAGGAGAACCCAUGGAGACAAUGUGAGACAUCCCCAGAAUGAAUCCAGAUGUGCUGCUCUGUCUGUAACCCAGUGCUGUAAGGAGGACUGAGAUCUGCUGCACUGCAAGCCUGGAUAAAGAUACCCACCAUGGAUCUUCUCCCUGGACUCCUGACCCCAACUGCUCACCUUCCUCCUUCUGCCCUGGGCUAACUUCUCCUCGACUUCUGCUUUGGUUGAAAAGAGGCUGGGGUAAAAAAAGGGGGAAGGGGAGCCUGAAGGUGCAUACUGCUCUGCACCGGAUGCUGUGCAAGCAUACAAAUAACCACGGUCCCUGCGCCAGCAGAUCCAGCAGCUCAGCACAGAUCCAGCCCCAGGGGCUCAUCCUGGGCAGGGAGUGCAACCCUCGAGCUCCAACACCAUCCUGAGCUGACAGCUGCCCUCCUCCCCCCACCCCCAGCCACCUCCAAGCCGUUCACGGAGCGAUUCUCCAAAUGAUUUUUCUGGAAAACCAAUUAAAGGAGGAGUUACAUCACACAGCAGCCAGCCCAACCGGCGCUGCGUUGCGCUGACGAACCCUGCCUGUAUUUUGGGCUCUGCACCACAUUGCUCACAGCUGCUGCUGCUGCUGCCGUGCUGGAAUUUGCAGCAUGCUAUCUAAAUAUACUGCAACAAAAAACUGAUCAAAGCAGCUAAAUAUUAUUGUCUGCGCUCGGAUGGGAGGCGCAGAGCGUGGUCUCCCAGAAAACCUCCAAGUGCUUCGUUUUUUCCCCUGUGCAAAACCACAGACAAACAAAAUCGGGAGGGGGUAGGGUGUGGAAAGAAGCAGAGAAGGAGACUUUCAGUGGGUGUGAAGGGAGCACAGCCCAGGGCUUGGAAGUCAGGAAAUUCCAGUCCCUACAGCCUGUGGCAGGGGACAGGACGUGCUGCCUUAUGGGCUUGUGCUCCCCUCUGGAUGCUGCCACAUACUACCUUCAUACCUUUAGGUCAUCACAAAAUGAUGGAAUCUUAGAAUCGUUUGGGUUGGAAGGGAUCUGAGAAAUCAUUGAGCUCCAACCCCCUGCUGUGGGCUGGUUGCCACCCACCAGGUCUGGCUGCCCAGGGCCCCAUCCAUCCUGGCCUUGAGUACCUCCAGGGAUGGGGCAUCGACAGUUUCUCUGGGCAGCCUGUCAUCACCCACCAUCACCCAACAAGCGUGCCCACCCCUCAGUAUCCAGGCCAAGCUUAUUUAGGAAGCACAGAGCCUCCCAGACCCUUCCCCUGUGUAGUUGGCAAGAAAUAAAACAAGCCAGGUUGAGCUCAGUGUAUGGCAGGGGCAAGGCUUGGCACCAGGAUGGGGGUCUUAGACGGUGCCCAUGGACUAGGUUGGCCCCCGCUAUCACUCAGGCAGAAUUCUCAGCCCUCAGUUCCCUCCCAUAAAUCUUCCAGGUGAGCUCAUCAGCACUGCCAUGCAGAACAAGCACUGCUGCAAAUGAGUAGUCAUGAAUAAUCACUCUGGAUGCUUUGAAAAGCUUCUUAUCCUUUGCAUAAGAGACUCAAAGAAAAGCUGGCAUUAAGCCGAGGACUGCUGCUUGGUUUGGUCUCCAACCAUGAGAUGCUCAGUGGCAUCUCACCCUGGUGACAGCCAGGUCUCCUGCCAUGGGGGCAACAGGGGCAAAGGAAGAUGAUGCAGUAGCUUCAGCACCAGCUCCUGACCACAAGUCCCCACAUGCAUUCGACUGUCCGUGGGAUGCCAGGUGAGCUGCCUGAUUUUACAUCCAUUACAAGGUGAUGAGCUUCUCCAGUAUCAAUGAGAAGAAUCUGUGCAUGGCUGAAACUCAGGAAUACAAAUAACUUUCUCAUGAAGAAAACCCUAAACCCCAUUCUCUACUGGUGCACGUAACAAGGCUGUGAGCAGCUUCUCUUUGCCUGUGUCAAGUUGUGUACACCAUGCCUACUAUUAAUACAGAUGGUUUCUUCUCCUCUUUUCCUCAUUUCUCCUUUUCACAACCCAACCAGGAAUUAAAG
ensembl:lncRNA